UGGCGCAGUUCGGUAGCGCACCUCGUUCGCAACGAGGGGGUCAGGGGUUCAAAUCCC
rnacentral:tRNA from 1 species